UGAAGCAACAAUGCGCCAACAAUGGCCCUGAGGCUAUCCUUAGUACGGACUACGACGCUCAUUUAUUUCACAGUCGUGGACAAGAUAAUCGCCAAUGUCCGCUUAGAGGUAGACGGAGACGACGACGAUGACGACGAGGAAAGUGCUUAGGCCCAAUACGAAAUACGAAAUACGAAAUACCAAAUGGUAUGGGAUCAUGUAUAUGGACUGCAGUCAAAGUCGUUGCUCGAGUCAUUUGAUGUUGGCUUUAGGAAAUGUAUUUCAAUAAUUUUCACACGAAAAUCAGUUGAAUGAAGUUGUUUUAGGUUUUCAUUUUUCGUUUUUCGUUUUUGGCUCUGGCUGUUAAGUCAUUUGUGUCUUAAUUUGCGAGUAGAACUGGUGCCACAUCUGCCUUGUGCCCAGCAGCGGCAGCUGGCCAACUAAGCGAGCCAUCCUCGCCGGGCCCAUCAGUCAGAGCUCAACUAGCAUUCAGCUCGGUAGCAGCUGCAAGUUGCAUGCAACUGGCUAGCGCACACACACACGGGUUGACAGCCGGGCCAGGCUAAAAGCGGAACUGUCACUGCGUCCUCAGUCGUUUGAGGCGCCUCACCCGGUCUCUGCCUUCGUCCCGGUCUCAAUCCCAGUCCCAAUCUCGUUCUCGUUCUCUUGCUCGGCUUGGGUUCCAGCUUCAGCUUCAGCUUCAUUUGGGCAUCACAGUCGUUGGCAAUGUUGUCAUGGGCAACCAACGUUGGGCGCUGCUUUGGGCACCUCUGGGGCCUGUUUCGCUUGUAAUUAUAAUAUUCCAGCCAACCCAAAAUGUUGCCCCAGGCCAAGCAGCCGCCGCCGCAGUUGCCGCAACGGCCAAGGCAGGAAGAUGAAGCGGCGUCGUCGUCAUUCUGGGCCGCAGCCACACGGAACUUUUGUUGUAGCUGUUGCUCUCAUUGUUGUUGUUGUUGUUGUCGUUGUGGAACGUAGCUAUGCCGCAUGCAACACGAUGUCGCCUGAAGACUUUGCGGAUGACCUCGAGCGCCACAAAUGCUGAUUACGUAGACGCGCCCUUCUCCAUUUCCUUGCCAAAAAACAGGCAGAUACACGAAUCUAAUAUACCCUUUCGCACAUGACUUAUUCAGUCAACUCUUCAGCACAUACACCUUAUUAUACAUUCUUUGAGAAUAGGUUUUACUUGGUGGACAUUUGGAAAGUACAUAAAUAUAACAUACUUCACUUAAUAAUAUAGAUUGAUACAUUUGAAUACAUCUGUGGAUGAAACUAAAUAAAAGAUA